CUUCUUCCACUAAUCUGUGAGAUGCCCCUACUGGACCUUCUCCCAUCACCUCAGGAGCCAAUGAGAAUACCCGCCAAAAGUCUACCCCCAAAAGAAUAUCGACGAGCCUCCACGCCCAGCUUCUCCAGGAAUUCCUGACCAUUACACCCUAGCAUGCU